rnacentral:rRNA from 1 species
AGCGAACGCUGGCGGCAGGCCUAACACAUGCAAGUCGAACGAACCGUUCGGGGUUAGUGGCGGACGGGUGAGUAACACGGGGGAACGUGCCCUUAGGUUCGGAAUAACUCAGGGAAACUUGUGCUAAUACCGAAUGUGCCCUUCGGGGGAAAGAUUUAUCGCCUUUAGAGCGGCCCGCGUCUGAUUAGCUAGUUGGGUGAGGUAAUGGCUCACCAAAGCGACGAUCAGUAGCUGGUCUGAGAGGAUGAUCAGCCACAUUGGGACUGAGACACGGCCCAAACUCCUACGGUAGGCAGCAGUAGGGAAUCUUGCGCAAUGGGCGAAAGCCUGACGCAGCCGUGCCGCGUGAAUGAUGAAGGUCUUAGGAUUGUAAAAUUCUUUCUCCGGGGACGAUAAUGACGGUACCCGGAGAAGAAGCCCCGGCUAACUUCGUG